AUUGAACGCUGGCGGCAGGCCUAACACAUGCAAGUCGAGCGGCAGCGGGACCUUCGGGUUGCCGGCGAGCGGCGGACGGGUGAGGAAUGCCUAGGAAUCUGCCCGAUAGUGGGGGACAACGUUUCGAAAGGAACGCUAAUACCGCAUACGUCCUACGGGAGAAAGUGGGGGCUCUUCGGACCUCACGCUAUCGGAUGAGCCUAGGUCGGAUUAGCUAGUUGGUGGGGUAAAGGCUCACCAAGGCGACGAUCCGUAACUGGUCUGAGAGGAUGAUCACUCACACUGGAACUGAGACCCGGUCCAGACUCCGACGGGAGGCAGCAGUGGGGAAUAUUGGACAAUGGGCGAAAGCCUGAUCCAGCCAUGCCGCGUGUGUGAAGAAGGUCUUCGGAUUGUAAAGCACUUUAAGUCGGGAGGAAGGGCUGCAGGUUAAUACCUUGCAGCCUUGACGUUACCGACAGAAUAAGCACCGGCUAACUUCGUGCCAGCAGCCGCCGUAA
rnacentral:rRNA from 1 species